rnacentral:rRNA from 1 species
GUAAGGAAUAUUGGACAAUGGUCGCAAGACUGAUCCAGCCAUGCCGCGUGAAGGAUGACGGCCCUAUGGGUUGUAAACUUCUUUUGAACGGGAGAAAACCCCUCUACGUGUAGAGGGCUGAUAGUACCGUUAGAAUAAGGAUCGGCUAACUCCGUGCCAGCAGCCGCGGUAAUACGGAGGAUCCAAGCGUUAUCCGGAUUCAUUGGGUUUAAAGGGUGCGUAGGCGGAAUGAUAAGUCAGUGGUGAAAUCUCUUCGCUUAACGAAGAAACUGCCAUUGAUACUGUCAAUCUUGAGUACAUUUGAUGUGGGCGGAAUGUGUCAUGUAGCGGUGAAAUGCUUAGAUAUGACACAGAACACCGAUUGCGAAGGCAGCUCACAAAACUGUAACUGACGCUGAGGCACGAAAGCGUGGGUAUCAAACAGGAUUAGAUACCCGAGUAGUCC